AAAUGAAUAGACGGGGACCCGCACAAGCGGUGGAGCAUGUGGUUUAAUUCGACGAUAAACGAAGAACCUCACCAAGGUUUGACAUCUAGCUGCAUGUCCUGGAAACAGGAAGGCCUUCGAGGGUGCUAGACAGAUGCUGCAUGGUUGCCGUCAGUUCGUGUCGUAAGAUGUACCGUUAAGUCGGAAAACGAACGCAACCCUUAUUUCAUGUUUUAUAUGUCAUGAAAGACUGCCCGUUUUAAAUGGGAGGAAGGUGGGGAUGACGUCAAAUCAGCAUGGUUCUUACACCUUGGGCUACACACGUGCUACAAUGGGAAAUACAAAGGGACGCCAAAUCGUAAGAUGGAGCAAAUCCCUAAAAAUUUUCCUCAGUUCGGAUUGAGGUCUGCAACUGACCUCAUGAAGUUGGAAUCGCUAGUAAUCGUAGGUCAGCUAUACUACGGUGAAUACGUUCUCGGGUCUUGUACACACCGCCCGU
rnacentral:rRNA from 1 species